UUGUGAGCGUGCAACAUCCACUGUAGCGGUUAACAGAUUGUUGUGCUAUAUUUGAAUGCCAACCUUUUUUUAAAUCAGUCAUCUGCGGUAUUUUGACAGUCACCCGGGACUCACAAGCAAGUAAGUUAGACAAGAAUGAUCAACUGCCUCCAGAAAAAAGUCCCUUUACACGAGACCUUAAAUAAGCAUGCAGUUUUGGGUGACUGCUCGACAAAUGGACCAUCCCUAUUAUAAUUAGAGAACUCACUAUGAGCUCAAAGGUCCCACCAGGAAUAAUUAAUUUACUGAAGAUAACUGAAGUUGAAAAAAAUCGGAAGUGGAAGAAUCCGGGAAGAGUAAAGAGGUUGUUGCAGAGUGGUAUGUGGCGUCGCUCCAAAGAGGGGAACAGAGAAGACGGCAGAUGCUAGGAGCUCCACUGAGCUAAUGUACUCAACUCGCUCACUGAGGAGUCUGCAAUGAGGUAGUCAAGACAUGGUUGUCACUUCAAGCUGCUUCGAUCCGCUGUCAACGGGUCAGAAAUCUAAAGCUGCUGAUUUCAUACCCUGGGAAAAGCUCUGCACAGCAAGACGAGAGGAAUAAAACUAUCAGGGAGUUAUCAGAAGCAUCUUAAUUAAAGUCUUUCAGUGGCAGAAAGUGAUAACAGCCGGGUUAACACGAUCUUGAAAUGCAUAGGCACAGAUUAAUCAGACUUACCAGUUGUGUAUGUCUGAUGCGUCAUUUUAACAAUGAUCCCUAGAAGUCAUUAAAAGUAAAUCUCGCCAUCUGAGUCUGGCAGAAAACUUUCAUAUUUCUGUACUUUGGCUCUGAACAUGCGUCUCACAAUUAUCGCAUCUUCAAAAAUCCACAUUUGACCAGUAUAUGGUAUCACAGCUGGUUUAUUUGCGAACGUACAUUUGACGUUCAGAGUCGAGCAGCUGCACAAUUAUCCCUGUUUUAAUCAUCUGCACCCGAAAUAUAUUAUCUCCUCUGUGCAAAGAAGCAUUGACUAAAACAUUAGUCAUUACACUGAAACUGAAGCAUGUCCAGAAUCAUAAUGUUCAGUGUCUUAUAAAACAUCUGCCAAUUAUGUCAUCAAAAGCCAUUAGCAAUAUGCACCUCUUUCAUUUUAGUCUAUGAGGCUUUGUACUUCCUUUGUGGCUCGUGAGAUUAAUAGGCUUUUCUAAUAUGCCUUGUGCUAUUGAUUACAUCAAAAUUGGCCAUUCGGGAUUUGAUAGAAAUGCCUUCAGAGGAUUGAGCUUUUUGUAGUUGACAGGAACUUGACAGACUUGGAGGACAAAGUCAGUGUGGUGUCCUGUGUAGUCACCCUCAAUCACAUCUUCAGAUCAGGUUAUUAUUUAUGACGUAGGAACAUAUGGCAAUCACAAACCAUGAGUGCUGAGCCGAUAAGUGCUUUGAAACCGAUCCAAGAUUAGUCUGUUAUUCCAGCCUCCAGGAAGAGCCUGUUAACCACAAAUGCUGCUUUACCUUCGCCUCGAUUUACUUCGCAGCAGUUUACUGUGUAGCAUGGGUAAAUAUUUGAUCUGAUGGCUCUGAUAACCUUGGCAGCAUGAAAAAGCUUUUUUCCUCUCGCCAACUAAAUGAUAAGACUGUUAAAAUAAAUAUGCACCCUGUAGGCAUUUAAAAAAAAAAAUGAGAAAAGGUCAGAUUUCCUCAGGAGGGUGAGGAAUGCCAACCAAUGUUCUGAUCAAAGGUAUCGACCAAUGAAAUAACCAAAUGUCUAUUAAAGUUUACUUUUAAAAUGUAUUUCACUACAGAUGACAAAAUACAAGCUUUAAAAGGUAAUCAGUAAUGUAUUUCAUUAGAUUAAUCAGGUAUAGUUAACUUAAUCUAAAUACUUUAGAAUACUUUGGAAUACUUAAGCUAUGAAACACACAAAAGAACAUAUUAACUGGAUGUCUGGUUUUUUUAUGCUUUCCAACUCUAAAUAAAAGUGAUAAGAUUUGU